CUUGUGUUAGUGCACACCCACUCACCUGACAACUUCAGUUAGGUCUGCAAGCACCUGAGACCCCUAUGGGAGUAACUACCACUGGGCCUAAGUUGCAAUCUAAUUUUUGUUAGACACUAAUUCACUAAAGCUCAAACUAAUAAACCUUUUCAUAUAUGCAUAUUUUUGUACUUAGAUAAGAAAAACAUUCUUUUCUCAACAGGGUUCAACUCUUCGUCGAUUCCCAGCACUGCAAUGAAUUCUAUAUCUGGGUUCACCCCUUCGUCGAUCCCUAGCACUGCAAUGAAAUCUACAUCUGGACGUCAAAAUUCAAACCAUCAAGAGCGCUAUUUUGUGAAACUAUUAUGGCUGGCAGCAGGGGGUGUGGCUUCUGGAUUGGGCUUGUAUCUUCUGGGAUUGACAGCUUUCUGUCUCUGCAGGAAGAGCAAGAACUCUUCUCAGAGAUCUGUCCAACAGGAUGAUCACAACCAAGUUGUAGAUUUGGUGAUGGGAGACAUGAGGAGUGGAGGCAUGGUGGAUUCAGGAAAUGAUGGGUUCUAUUCUGUCAUCACUUCUGUACCGUCCACAUUCCUGCCCUCAGAGAACUCUUCUCAGAGAUCUGUCCAACAGGAUGAUCACAACCAAGUUGUAGAUUUGGUGAUGGGAGACAUGAGGAGUGGAGGCAUGGUGGAUUCAGGAAAUGAUGGGUUCUAUUCUGUCAUCACUUCUGUACCGUCCACAUUCCUGCCCUCAGGUCCUAUUGCAGAGAAUUAAUCUAAAAAUGAAAAUUCUGAUAAAUACCACGUGCACUGCUCAAUCCCUGACAGACCAGCAACCUCAGCCCAGAAAGAAGGGUUGUAGAGUCUUCUGCAGAAACACUGAAUCUAUUUGCUUUCUGUAGCGAUGUUUAACAGGUCUAUAAAUAAAUACACACUCUCUAACAUGAAGUCCUCUGUUUAUAUCAAACACCA
ensembl:lncRNA